AACGAACGCUGGCGGCAGGCUUAACACAUGCAAGUCGAACGGUUGUAGCAAUACAGCAGUGGCAGACGGGUGAAUAACACGUGGGAACCUUCCUCGUAGUACGGAACAACUCAGGGAAACUUGAGCUAAUACCGUAUACGUCCGAGAGGAGAAAGAUUUAUCGCUAUGAGACGGGCCCGCGUCCGAUUAGCUAGUUGGUGGGGUAACGGCCUACCAAGGCAACGAUCGGUAGCUGAUCUGAGAGGAUGAUCAGCCACACUGGGACUGAGACACGGCCCAGACUCCUACGGGAGGCAGCAGUGGGGAAUCUUGGACAAUGGGCGCAAGCCUGAUCCAGCCAUGCCGCGUGAGUGAAGAAGGCCUUAGGGUUGUAAAGCUCUUUUGGCAGGGACGAUAAUGACGGUACCUGCAGAAUAAGCCCCGGCAAACUUCGUGCCAGCCGCCGCCGUAAU
rnacentral:rRNA from 1 species